AACGAACGCUGGCGGCAGGCCUAACGCAUGCAAGUCGAGCGAGACCUUCGGGUCUAGCGGCGGACGGGUGAGUAACGCGUGGGAAUAUGCCCUUUGGUACGGAAUAGCCUCGGGAAACUGAGAGUAAUACCGUAUGUGCCCUUCGGGGGAAAGAUUUAUCGCCAAAGGAUUAGCCCGCGUUGGAUUAGGUAGUUGGUGGGGUAAUGGCCUACCAAGCCUACGAUCCAUAGCUGGUUUGAGAGGAUGAUCAGCCACACUGGGACUGAGACACGGCCCAGACUCCUACGGGAGGCAGCAGUGGGGAAUCUUGGACAAUGGGGGCAACCCUGAUCUAGCCAUGCCGCGUGAGUGAUGAAGGCCUUAGGGUUGUAAAGCUCUUUCAGCUGGGAAGAUAAUGACGGUACCAGCAGAAGAAGCCCCGGCUAACUCCGUGCCAGCCGCCGCCGUAAGAC
rnacentral:rRNA from 1 species